rnacentral:sRNA from 1 species
CAGUAUGAGAAAAGAUUGCCGUGAAU